rnacentral:rRNA from 2 species
GUGACCUCAGAUCAGGU